CAGCACCUCAAGUGGUCAGGAUGAUUAUUGGGCCUAAAGCAUCCGUAGCCUGUUCUGUAAGUUUCCGGGUUAAAUCCAUUAGCUCAACUAAUGGGCUGCCGAAAAUACUGCAGAACUAGGGAGUGGGAGAGGUAGACGGUACUCGGUAGGAAGGGGUAAAAUCCUUUGAUCUAUUGAUGACCACCUGUGGCGAAGGCGGUCUACCAGAACACGUUCGACGGUGAGGGAUGAAAGCUGGGGGAGCAAACCGGAUUAGAUACCCGGGUAGUCCCAGCUGUAAACGAUGCAGACUCGGUGAUGCCCUGGCUUGUGGCCAGUGCAGUGCCGCAGGGAAGCCGUUAAGCUUGCCGCCUGGGAAGUACGUACGCAAGUAUG
rnacentral:rRNA from 1 species